GACGGGUGAGUAAUGCCUAGGAAUCUGCCUGGUAGUGGGGGAUAACGUUCGGAAACGGACGCUAAUACCGCAUACGUCCUACGGGAGAAAGCAGGGGACCUUCGGGCCUUGCGCUAUCAGAUGAGCCUAGGUCGGAUUAGCUAGUUGGUGAGGUAAUGGCUCACCAAGGCGACGAUCCGUAACUGGUCUGAGAGGAUGAUCAGUCACACUGGAACUGAGACACGGUCCAGACUCCUACGGGAGGCAGCAGUGGGGAAUAUUGGACAAUGGGCGAAAGCCUGAUCCAGCCAUGCCGCGUGUGUGAAGAAGGUCUUCGGAUUGUAAAGCACUUUAAGUUGGGAGGAAGGGUUGUAGAUUAAUACUCU
rnacentral:rRNA from 1 species